AUUGGACUUCAAUGUGCUGAAAGCUGUUGUUUCAAGCUGGUAUGACCGCCACCAAAGUCUUUCUAUGUUGAAAGUGUUGUUCAGAGACAAGGUGGACAAUCACAAGCUAUCACAAGUAAAUAAGACGAUGAACUUGCUGAAUAAUUUGAUUACAUAUGAUCAUCUGAGUUCACGGAAUCUUGGACUCCUGUGUGAUACUAUUAGUGUAACCAAACAUUUAGGUCUUUUAAAGGAGAUUAAAGAAAAACUACCAUCAUUCCCUGAUGUAAGCGAAGGAAACAUUUCAACAAAAUUCACACCUCACAGACAAAAGUUAAUGAAAUUUGGAAUGAUACUGACCCCAUCCGAUGUGACGCAGAUCGAUGAGUUGUAUAAUACACCUCCUAAGGACUAUACAGAUGGCUGGGAAAUGAUCACUGAUCUUGAAGACAGACUUAUAAUCAUGGAAGAAAAUAUGAACAAAUUCAUUGACUUGUUGAAAAUCCUAAAUCUCAUUCUUGCAGAAGACGCACUAACAACAUGAAGAUUGUUCAAUUCUGUUGGUACCGAAAGAAAGAUUUUACUCCGAAGUAUAAUGGAACAAGUUCAUGAACUGACAUACUGUAUCAACAAAUACCAACGGGUGAAGUACAUAAUGUGUAGAAGAGGAACAAUGGAUUGUCAGGUUAUGUUGACACGACAAUUAUUGUGCAAAAAUCAGGUGGAAGAUGCUAGUGAUCUGCUAAGAUCCACGACCACGAUGUGCCAGUUGUUGAGCCCCAGUGAAGGUCCUGUAGAUACGACAUAAUAUUACUAUGAUACCAGUGGUAUGGCACUCCAAGAAACCAACAUAACAUCAUUCUCAAUUCAUUGACAAAAAGUGAUGAAACUUGGUAGAGUGUUAUUGCUAUACGAGGUAUGCAGUCUGGUGAUGUAUACGAUUUACCAAAGGAUUUACCAGAGGACUCUGAUACUAAGUCCAGAAUUGAGGAAAAAAUUAAAGAAAAUCAAAUGAGUCUAUUUAUUGAGCUCCUGAAGAAAAUUGGACUGAAUCGUGUAGCUACAGGAUUAGAACAUGAAGAAAAAUACAUGGUGACUGAUUGGAUAUAAACGCAAUGUUCUGUAUUACAAUGGACUGUUUAUGCAAACCAUAAAUCGUAGGGUAUUAGUAUUAAUUAAGAUAUAAUAA